AGAGUUUGAUCCUGGCUCAGGACGAACGCUGGCGGCGUGCCUAAUACAUGCAAGUAGAACGCUGAAGAGAGGAGCUUGCUCUUCUUGGAUGAGUUGCGAACGGGUGAGUAACGCGUAGGUAACCUGCCUUGUAGCGGGGGAUAACUAUUGGAAACGAUAGCUAAUACCGCAUAACAAUGGAUGACACAUGUCAUUUAUUUGAAAGGGGCAAUUGCUCCACUACAAGAUGGACCUGCGUUGUAUUAGCUAGUAGGUGAGGUAACGGCUCACCUAGGCGACGAUACAUAGCCGACCUGAGAGGGUGAUCGGCCACACUGGGACUGAGACACGGCCCAGACUCCUACGGGAGGCAGCAGUAGGGAAUCUUCGGCAAUGGGGGCAACCCUGACCGAGCAACGCCGCGUGAGUGAAGAAGGUUUUCGGAUCGUAAAGCUCUGUUGUAAGUCAAGAACGAGUGUGAGAGUGGAAAGUUCACACUGUGACGGUAGCUUACCAGAAAGGGACGGCUAACUACGUGCCAGCAGCCGCGGUAAUACGUAGGUCCCGAGCGUUGUCCGGAUUUAUUGGGCGUAAAGCGAGCGCAGGCGGUUUGAUAAGUCUGAAGUUAAAGGCUGUGGCUCAACCAUAGUUCGCUUUGGAAACUGUCAAACUUGAGUGCAGAAGGGGAGAGUGGAAUUCCAUGUGUAGCGGUGAAAUGCGUAGAUAUAUGGAGGAACACCGGUGGCGAAAGCGGCUCUCUGGUCUGUAACUGACGCUGAGGCUCGAAAGCGUGGGGAGCGAACAGGAUUAGAUACCCUGGUAGUCCACGCCGUAAACGAUGAGUGCUAGGUGUUGGAUCCUUUCCGGGAUUCAGUGCCGCAGCUAACGCAUUAAGCACUCCGCCUGGGGAGUACGACCGCAAGGUUGAAACUCAAAGGAAUUGACGGGGGCCCGCACAAGCGGUGGAGCAUGUGGUUUAAUUCGAAGCAACGCGAAGAACCUUACCAGGUCUUGACAUCCCGAUGCUAUUUCUAGAGAUAGAAAGUUACUUCGGUACAUCGGUGACAGGUGGUGCAUGGUUGUCGUCAGCUCGUGUCGUGAGAUGUUGGGUUAA
rnacentral:rRNA from 1 species